rnacentral:rRNA from 1 species
UACGGAGGAUGCGAGCGUUAUCCGGAUUUAUUGGGUUUAAAGGGUGCGUAGGCGGUGCCUUAAGUCAGCGGUCAAAGCCCGGGGCUCAACCCCGGCCAGCCGUUGAGACUGGGGCGCUGGAGAGGAAGAGAGGCAUGCGGAAUUCGCGGUGUAGCGGUGAAAUGCUUAGAUAUCGCGAAGAACUCCGAUUGCGAAGGCAGCAUGCCGGCUUCUGUCUGACGCUGAGGCACGAAAGCGUGGGGAUCGAACAGG